AACCGCCGUAUACGAGAACCGUAUGUACGGUGGUGUGAGAGGUCGGCUAAUCAAUUAAUGAUGAUUAGCCUCCUACUCGAU
rnacentral:ncRNA from 1 species